AGGUCAUAGUGAGAACACCUUCUCAAAAAAUCCUUAAAUCUCUCCCGUGUAUCAUAAAGAAUAUUAAACUAAACAAAAAGAAGAUAUGUCAUUCCUCAACUU
rnacentral:snoRNA from 1 species